CGCUGGCGGCGUGCCUAAUACAUGCAAGUCGAGCGGACAGAUGGGAGCUUGCUCCCUGAUGUUAGCGGCGGACGGGUGAGUAACACGUGGGUAACCUGCCUGUAAGACUGGGAUAACUCCGGGAAACCGGGGCUAAUACCGGAUGGUUGUUUGAACCGCAUGGUUCAAACAUAAGAGGUGGCUUCGGCUACCACUUACAGAUGGACCCGCGGCGCACUAGCUAGUUGGUGAGGUAACGGCUCACCAAGGCAACGAUGCGUAGCCGACCUGAGAGGGUGAUCGGCCACACUGGGACUGAGACACGGCCCAGACUCCUACGGGAGGCAGCAGUAGGGAAUCUUCCGCAAUGGACGAAAGUCUGACGGAGCAACGCCGCGUGAGUGAUGAAGGUUUUCGGAUCGUAAAGCUCUGUUGUUAGGGAAGAACAAGUACCGUUCGAAUAGGGCGGUACCUUGACGGUACCUAACCAGAAAGCCACGGCUAACUACGUGCCA
rnacentral:rRNA from 1 species